UACGGGGGGAGCAAGCGUUGUUCGGAUUUACUGGGCGUAAAGGGCGCGUAGGCGGCCACCGCAAGUCGGUUGUGAAAUCUCUGGGCUUAACCCAGAAAGGUCAACCGAUACUGCGGGGCUAGAGUGCAGAAGGGGCAACUGGAAUUCUCGGUGUAGCGGUGAAAUGCGUAGAUAUCGAGAGGAACACCUGCGGCGAAGGCGGGUUGCUGGGCUGACACUGACGCUGAUGCGCGAAAGCUAGGGGAGCGAACGGG
rnacentral:rRNA from 1 species